AUGUUCGGGUGGAUCUGGAUGAUCCGGCUUCGUCCUGAGGCUUGUUGUACUCUUCAGGCACAUUUGAUGGAUCGUCCGGAUGAGGGUCCAGAACGUCCGGGCUUGGUCCGGAUCAUCCAGAUGGGGGUUCGAAUGAUCCGGGCAAGCUCUGUCUUGCUCUGUUUCUUCAUACAGGAUGAAGACCUAACAAGAAAAAUCCUUUUGGAAGAAUCCUUUUGGAUCGGGGACGAAACGUCUCUCGAGAGAUUGAGGAAAAAAUAUCCCCUUGGUUACCUUUAUUUGUUGCGUUGUUCUUGGAUGCAAAAUGUACCUGAAUUGACCUUGGAUUUGAGGGUAGUUGGUGCGAAUCACAUCCUGUUGGAUGUUUUCAUCUAG
rnacentral:rRNA from 1 species